UUUAAGCUUCCUAGGGAGGCUGCAGUGGGGAAUCUUAGACAAUGGGGGAAACCCUGAUCUAGCCAUGCCGCGUGAUCGAUGAAGGCCUUAGGGUUGUAAAGAUCUUUCAGGUGGGAAGAUAAUGACUGUACCACCAGAAGAAGCCCCGGCUAACUCCGUGCCAGCAGCCGCGGUAAUACGGAGGGGGCUAGCGUUGUUCGGAAUUACUGGGCGUAAAGCGCACGUAGGCGGAUCAGAAAGUCAGAGGUGAAAUCCCAGGGCUCAACCUUGGAACUGCCUUUGAAACUCCUGAUCUUGAGGUCGAGAGAGGUGAGUGGAAUUCCGAGUGUAGAGGUGAAAUUCGUAGAUAUUCGGAGGAACACCAGUGGCGAAGGCGGCUCACUGGCUCGAUACUGACGCUGAGGGGCGAAAGCGUGGGGAGCAAACAGGAUUAGAUACCCUUGUAGUCGA
rnacentral:rRNA from 1 species